GAUAACCGCGAUAGGUCAAGAUUUCUGGAAUGAUUCUUGGCCAAAAUCUAUAUGGCCUCUGGAUUGGACUGCGGCCGAUCAGGCUGUUGGUGAGGUAAUGGCCCACCAAACCUAUAACCGGUACGGGCUCUGAGAGGAGAAGCCCGGAGAUGGGCACUGAGACAAGGGCCCAGGCCCUAUGGGGCGCAGCAGGCGCGAAACCUUUGCAAUAGGCGAAAGCCUGACAAGGUUACUCUGAGUGAUUUCCGCUAAGGGGAUCUUUUGACACCUCUAAAAGCGGUGUAGAAUAAGGGGUGGGCAAGUCUGGUGUCAGCCGCCGCGGUAAUACCAGCACCCCGAGUGGCCGGGACGAUUAUUGGGCCUAAAGCAUCCGUAGCCGGUUUUACAAGUCUUCCGUUAAAUCCAGCCGCUCAACGGGUGGGCCGCGGAGGAUACUGUAGAACUAGGAGGCGGGAGAGGCAAGCGGUACUUAGUGGGUAGGGGUAAAAUCCACUGAUCCAUUGAAGACCACCAGUGGCGAAGGCGGCUUGCCAGAACGCGCUCGACGGUGAGGGAUGAAAGCUGGGGGAGCAAACCGGAUUAGAUACCCGGGUAGUCCCAGCUGUAAACGAUGCAGACUCGGUGAUGGGCUAGCCUUGUGCCAGCCCAGUGCCGCAGGGAAGCCGUUAAGUCUGCCGCC
rnacentral:rRNA from 1 species